GUGACGUCAUCGGGGAGUGAUGUCAUUGGGUGGGUGGUGUCAUGGGUGGGACUGAUGUCAUGGUGAUGAUGUCAUUGAGAGUGAUGUCACUGAUGGGAUGA
rnacentral:lncRNA from 12 species